rnacentral:rRNA from 1 species
CAAGUCGAACGGCAGCACGGGGGUAACCCUGGUGGCGAGUGGCGAACGGGUGAGUAAUACAUCGGAACGUGUCCUGUAGUGGGGGAUAGCCCGGCGAAAGCCGGAUUAAUACCGCAUACGAUCUACGGAUGAAAGCGGGGGAUCUUCGGACCUCGCGCUAGAGGGGCGGCCGAUGGCGGAUUAGCUAGUUGGUGGGGUAAAGGCCUACCAAGGCGACGAUCCGUAGCUGGUCUGAGAGGACGAUCAGCCACACUGGGACUGAGACACGGCCCAGACUCCUACGGGAGGCAGCAGUGGGGAAUUUUGGACAAUGGGGGAAACCCUGAUCCAGCAAUGCCGCGUGUGUGAAGAAGGCCUUCGGGUUGUAAAGCACUUUUGUUCGGGAAGAAAACGUCUUGGCUAAUAUCUGAGGCGGAUGACGGUACCGGAAGAAUAAGCACCGGCUAACUACGUGCCAGCAGCCGCGGU